AACGUAUUUCUUAAUGUACAUUUAAAAUAUGUUUCCUACAAUAGGAAAAUCUCUGGUGAAAGCUCACUAAAGACAUUUUUCUUAGUAAUUUGUCGGAAUACGAUGUGUACCUGUCAAGAAGAUACCCAAUCUGUUCAUUCAUAUAUUUCUUUACAAAAUAAUCUAACCUGGAAAAGAAUCUGGGUCUUCCUAACCAUACCAUUUUACUAUAGACCCAUGAGAGAUCUUUUCUCUCCAUUGUCCACACACUGAGUGAAGUUCCUCAAAACCUGUCUGAUCAGAGAAUGUUCUACUUUAAGUCCUUCAGUGAAUCCCAUUGUCCUUGGCAUGGAGUUUAUGCUUCACAGGAUAUAACAUAAGGUUUCCCAUCUGCCCUCUUAUUAUUCUCUAAACUUUCUGCCUCAUCUAUUCCCCAGUUUAUACCCACUUUGCUCUGCUGAGGUACCAAACCAUUUGCAGUUUCUCAAACAGGUCCUGCUGCCUCUGACCUUCUUGAGUUUACACAUGCCAAUCCAUCCCUUAGACAAGAGCGUGCCGUCCAGGCGUGGUCCCCCAACCAACUAUAAUGUUGUCAAGAGUUAGUUCAGGAGAUCCCUGGUGGCCUAGCGGUCAAGGAUCCAACAUUGUCACUGCUGUGGCUCAGGUUACUGCUGUGGCUUGGGUUUGAUCCCUGGCCUGGAAACUUCCACAUGGUGAGGGCAGAGAGAAAAAGAAAAAAAUAGUUCAGACAUUAAUUUUUCUAUCAGAGAUUAAUUGCCUCCCAAGACACAUUUUCCUUUCUUCCCACUAACAGAAACCAGCUUUUGGUUGGACCAUGGCCACCCAAAUCAAAGAUUGCCUUUCCCAGCUUUGCCUGUAGUCAGGUGUGGUCGUACCAUUAAGUUCUGGCCAAUGAGAUUUAGAAUAAUUAGGAGGGGGAAAAAAGGAAUAAGGGGAGAUUAGGUGUGAUAGUAAAGAUAGCAGCAUCUAACAGUUAUUCUGCAUUUACAAUGUCCCAGGGAGCAUUUUAAGUCUUUAUAUAUAUUACUUUAUUUAAUCCUCAUAAGACUGAGGUUCAACCCUCUGACCAUCAGUGGGUUUAUCAUGUGUUAGGUUUCCACAUGUAUAUAAGUCUGUGUUAUUGGACAAUUCAUCCAUCCCUAUGCCCAAAACUCCAGUCUUAAUUACAACAGCUUUUUAAGUGUUGGUAUCUAGUAAGGCAAGCCCCACACCUGGUUCCUCCUAAGGAAUAUUUUUAUUUUUGAUUCUUUGAUUUUCCAAAUACAUUUUAAAGUCCACAUUUGUGGACUUCCAUGGGAAACCCUGUUGGAAUUUUGAUUGGGAUUGCGCUAAAUCAAUUUAGUGAGAGUAGAUCUCUCUAGUGGUGUUGAGUCUUCCUAAGAUUAUUAUUUAUUCAGGUUCUCCUUAAUGUCUUUCAAUAAAAGUUUAUGAUUUUCUCUAUAAAUUUCCUGGAAUCUUUUGUUAGACUUAAACUAAAUCUGCUUUCAAUGGUUGCUCUUAUAAAUAGCAUCUUUUUAAAUGUUUUCUAACAGUUUCUUGCAAGUAUAUCAAAAUAAUAGAUUUAUAGAUACUAAACUUAUAUGCCGCCACCCUGCUAAAUUCUCCUUUUAACUGUAACAAUUUGUAGAUUCUUUUGCAUUUUCUACAUAGUUAUAUCGUCUGUGUGUAAUGAUGCUUUGGUUUUUCCUUUUUAAUCCUGAUGUAUUUUUCUUAUUGUCUUUCUGCAUUCUUCAGAAUCUGUUCAAUGCCGAAUAGAAGUGGUGAUAGCAGACAUCUCUGUCUUGCUCCUGAUUUUUUGAAGGAAGUGCAUACAUGCAAGUUUUGGUCAUGAAAAGAAAGAUGUUUGCUAUAGUUUUUUUUGUUUGUUUUUGUUUUUGUUUUUUGUCUUUUUGCCAUUUCUUGGGCCGCUACCGUGGCACAUGGAGAUUCCCAGGCUCUGGGUCGAAUUGGAGCUGUAGGCUCUGGCCUACGCCAGAGCCACAGCAACACGGGAUCCAAGCCUUGUCUGCAACCUACACCACAGCUCACGGCAAUGCUGGAUCCCCAAGCCACUGAGCAAGGCCAGGGAUCGAACCCGCAACCUCAUGGUUCCUAGUUGGAUUCAUUAACCACUGUGCCACGACGGGAACUCCUGCUAUAGUUUUUUUAAAUGUACAUUUCAUCAAGAUAAAAAUAAAGUCUCCUUCUAGUUUCGUUUUGCAAAAGGCGUGUUGGGAUUUUAUUUGUUUAAUAUUUAUAAAUGCACAUUGUUUAGAGCAGUGAUUAGAAAACUACAGCUCAAUCCAAAUCAAGUCUAUUUUUACACAGCCCAUAAACUAUGAAUGAUUUUUUUCAUUUUUCAAAUGAAAAGAAAAAAUAUUUUAUGACAACUGAAAUUACAUAAAAUUCAAAUUUCAGUGUCUAUUAAUAAAGUUUUAUUGGAAUGCGGCAAUAUCCAUUUGUUUAUGGAUGGUCUAUGGUGCUUGUGCACCACAAAGUCAUCGUUAAGUAGUUGCAACAGAGACCAUAUGGCCUGCACAGCCUAGAAUAUUUACUAUCUAGCCCUUUAUAGAAAAGAUUUGCCAGCCCGUGGUCUAGAAUCACACAGUUAUAUACAAUUUGUUAUGAAAAACAGCAAAACCGCACUUACCUCUUCCCUCAUUAUCCCAUCCCCAAAGGCAACCACUUCUAUCUCUUUUAGUUGAUUAUUUUAGUAUUUACUUCUGUUUCUCUCAAUAGCAUAACUACAGUAUAACUUCUUUAAUCUUUGACUUUGGGAACUAUAUAUUAUCUUUCCACUAUGGGAGAUGAGGAUAUAACUAUCUUCUUCACUUCACCCCACCAUCCAUAUCUCUGUCAUCCAUCUUUUUCUCCAAUAUUAUAUAUAUUAUGUAAACUAUAUAAUAAUUUGGGUAGGUAAAUAUUCUUUGUUAUGACUCUGUUAAUGCAACUCAUAGUUGAGCCAUGUAGUAGACUUUGGUUUCUUUUCUAAUGCAAAGCUUUUUAUUUUUCCUGGCAUAAUUAUCUUUUUUUUUUUUAAUGUUGUUUCCUUAGUUUUGUUUUUACCAAUUCAACCUGAAAGUCUUCACCAAUUGUCUAAAUUUCUUCCCAGGAUGUUCAGAUGCAUUGGCAGCUUCACUAAUCUCACCAUCCUGAAGAAGUUGACUAGAGCUUUCUAGCUCACUGCCAUCUGGACAUUUUUAGUAAGUUCAGUGUUCAUUAUAAUUUCCUCUUUGACGCAGCAAUUAUUUUUAUGUGUGAUGUUGCAUGUGUUUUUAAAUCUCCAAAUGCAUGGAGAUUUUUACCUUAUUUAAAAUUGUUAUGGUAACUCAAUUGCAUGUAGUUAGAGAUGACUGUGUGAUAACGAUUCUUUCAAAUAUUAUGAGACUUCAUUUAUAUCCUAAUUUGUAAACCAAUAAGUGGUAAAAUGCGAAAAUUCAUGUGAGCCUGAAAACAAAGUUAAGUAUGGAAUGUAGAGUAGUGCGUUCAUUACAUCAAACUUGUUACUUAGAGAUAUAAUGAAAUUUUGUUUCAGCCUCCUAAUUACUAUAAAAUCUGCCACUCAGCAUCCAUGGAGUCCAGCAGCCAUGGGUUACCAAUGAUUAUGGGACCAUGUACGGUUACCAUCAUAUCUGAUUCUGUGAAUCUCAGCUUGGACUGAGCACUACCACCCUUGUGUUUCCAUCAUAUUUACUUCUUCCAAAUUGCAUGUUGAUACAAUUGUCUCCUCUAUUAGGCUGGGUGUUGGUUUCCCAUUAUUGCUGUAACAAAUUGCCACAAACUCAGUGCCUUAAAACACCACAAAUGUAUUGUGUUACAGUUGAGGCCAUCAGGAGUCCGAGAUGAAUCUCACUGAGCUAAAACCAAGGUGCUGCCAGAGCUGGUUCCUCCUGGAGACACUGAGUGCAGAAUCUACUUUCCUGCCCUUUUUGGCUUCCAUGCAUUAUUUCCAUCUCUAGCUACUGCCAUCAUCUGUACUACUGACACCGAUUCUAUUGACUUUCUCUCAUAAGCACCUUUAUAAUUACACCGGGUCCCUCCAGAUAAUCCAGCAUGAUUUCCCUUUCUCAAGAGCCUUAAGCUUUAACUUAAUCACAUCUACAAGGUCCCUUUGAAUGAGCAAGAUAACGUAAUCAUAGGGUUGGGGAUUAGGACAAAGACAUGUGUUGGAGUCUCUUAUUCAGCUCUAUACAUAUAGGACAUCUUUCCUGGUAAUUCCAAUAUCUAGAUUUUUCUGUAUGUCUCUAUUCUAGUUUGGUGUCUUUGGUUUUUUUUUUUUUUUUUUUUUUUUUUCCCCUCUUGGUUUUCCACCAUUUGGUCUUGUUCCUUGAUAAGCUUGAUACAUUUUUUUUAGUGCACCCUGGUCUUAAGCUUGAAAAACUAUAAAGAUAAGUUAAGAAUCUGCAUGGUGUUAUCUUCCUCCAGAGAGUAUUAGAGGUUAUUAGAGUAGGGGCAGAUUACUUUAUGCCAGAAUAGGACCAUUCCAAUUCCAAACUGAGUUUCUGUCUUUAUGAUGGCUGAUCGGUUUCUGAAUUAUCUGUUUCUGAACCAUCUUAAUCCUGGAAUGUAACUCCACAGGGACACUUGACAAGUCCAGCCAAAUUGCUGCCCAGCUUUUCAGUCUCACAGCUACUGCUUUCUGCCACUCAGCCUCUCAGAUUCUUAGCUGCAACUUACAAAUCAGAAAAUGCCUCAGGGUUCAUCUCUCAACUUUUUCUCCUGAAUCUUGGCUUCUCAAAAAGAUUUGAUGCCUUUUCAAAAAGAUUUUUAGCAGAGUUCUUGUGUGACUCAGUGGCUUAAGGACCUGGCAUUGUUAUGGUUAUGUCUCAGGUCGCUGCUUUGCUACUGAGGCACAGCGUUCUGUCCAUGGCCUGGGAACUUCUGCAUGUUGUG
rnacentral:lncRNA from 1 species